rnacentral:rRNA from 1 species
CUACGGGAGUCUGCAGUGGGGAAUAUUGGACAAUGGGCGAAAGCCUGAUCCAGCCAUGCCGCGUGUGUGAAGAAGGCCUUCGGGUUGUAAAGCACUUUCAGUGGGGAAGAAAGCCUUGGGGCUAAUACCCUCGAGGAAGGACAUCACCCACAGAAGAAGCACCGGCUAACUCCGUGCCAGCAGCCGCGGUAAUACGGAGGGUGCGAGCGUUAAUCGGAAUUACUGGGCGUAAAGCGCGCGUAGGCGGUCUGAUAAGCCGGUUGUGAAAGCCCCGGGCUCAACCUGGGAACGGCAUCCGGAACUGUCAGGCUAGAGUGCAGGAGAGGAAGGUAGAAUUCCCGGUGUAGCGGUGAAAUGCGUAGAGAUCGGGAGGAAUACCAGUGGCGAAGGCGGCCUUCUGGACUGACACUGACGCUGAGGUGCGAAAGCGUGGGUAGCAAACAGGAUUAGAUACCCCAGUAGUC